GGGCCGGUAGCUCAACUGGUAGAGCAGCGGACUCUUAAUCCGCGGGUUGAGGGUUCGAGUCCCCCCCGGCCCCCCA
rnacentral:tRNA from 1 species